GAAAGCCUUAUGAUGGGAAACUACCACGUUAGGUUUGGAGAGAGAUGGGACUUGUUAUACUAGGGGGGAGGGAGAGGCAUGGCAUUGGGUGAAGACUGAAGAGCGAGAGGAGAGGACCUAGGGUUAGCGUUGGCUGGCUUGGGACUUAGGGCCAUGUGCAGGGUGUAGUUGGCUUCAUUAUUAUUUGAUUCAACUACUUCAC
rnacentral:ncRNA from 1 species